rnacentral:lncRNA from 1 species
GUGUUCGUGUGCAGAAGUUCCACACACUCUGAGCACAUCGACAUGUUUUUAAAGUGGAUUACAAGCUGUCUUUUAUUUUUAACUUUAAUUUAUCUCACGUAUACAGAUGCAGUGAAUGAUUUCAGAGCAACUGAAGGAGAAACUGUCUAUCUUCCCUGCCACUCACCCCCUAUUGACAGUGUACAAGUUUCUGUAGAGUGGACAAAGCAUAGUACAAACAGCACUACAAACCUCACAGUACAAACAGUACAAAUAGUGCAAAAUAUUUGUCAAUGGAUUAUUAAUAACAUUACUGGAUCUCUUACUGGUUCUCACACUGGAGACUGCAUUCCUCAUUUCAAUUUCAAAUUCAAAUUCAAGUGUCUUUUACACUAAGUAUAGAAAAUGUUCAGCUCAGUGACUCUGGUCAUUACAGCUGUAAAACAACAAGAGUAAUGCCACCACCAACAUUAGACAAUACCACAAAUGUGACACUCCAAGUUGAAGUUCGUCCACAUCUGUCUCUGCAGAAACUGAACAGCAGUAAUGUCACCUGUAUCCAUCUGCUCUGCUCUAUGGAGGGUCUGACGACUGAGCUGGUGAACUUCACCUGGAGCCAAGAGGGUCAAAGUUCACUUCAUCCAUUCACAUCUUAUGCCACGAACAGUGAGCUGCGUCUGUGUAAACCUGACUGGAGUGACGGAGACACAAUCACCUGUUACACCAGCUACUCAAGCACACAAACUCAAAGAAGUAUACACCUCACUUCACAGAAAGAUUCUGACAAAGGUGGGUCAUUUUAACUACCUAUUACUUUAACCAGGACAAACUAGAGUAAAGUGUUCCAGUUCAGCAAUGCUGUUCAAUGGCCUUUAAACUUUCCAAGGAAAUUAAUUACAAUUAUUUAUUAAUUAUAAAAAAAAAAUAAAAAAUCAACUAACCUGAGAUCUAUUUUUCCAGAGCUCGAACAGAACUUUCCAGUUGUUUGCAUUGCCAUUUUCAGCUUCUUCAUCAUCUGCAUUGUUUUCAUCUGGAUACUGUUCUGCGUGUCCAAACAUAAGACCUCCAACUGAUGUGCGUGUGAUUUGGUUAGAAUCUCUAGUCCAGUUUUAAUUUGAUUUGAAUGUGAACUAAAUUUAGUGUCUGUAAAAGACUUGUGUCAUCCUGCAGAGUCUGACCUGCUGCCCUGGACCAUCAGCAUGAGAGCUUUAGAAGAGUAAACACGCUGUAAUAUUUUUUAAAAAUUAUACUUUUUUAUGAUGCUUUGGAUUACACUUUCUUAGACACGGCUGUUUUUGUUGUUUGUUUGUUUCCUAGAACUUUAAUGUAAGCCA